GGGAUUUAAAAUUCAAAAUCAUCAUUGGUGUUUUUUUCUUUCUAUGAAAGCGUUUUAGGGUUCUAACAAUAAUAGAACGUACGAGAAAAAUUGAUUAAAUGGGAGUGAGUUUAUUAAUAAAUUUUAAUUUUAUUAAUAUAUUUUAGUUUUAUUGGUUCGCCUGAGUUUCUCACCUGAUCUGCAUCUCAAAACUUCUCCAAUGGCGAAAUCGGUCUCCACCGCCGUGUCAUCCCUCGCCCAAACCCUAAAGCGUUACCUCAAGAAACCGUGGGAAAUAACCGGCCCGUGUGCCGACCCGGAGUACAAAUUAGCCGUGCCCGGCGCGCUCGAGUACCGGGUCGAGUGCCCAGCCACGACCAAGGUCCAGGCCUGCGUGCCCACCUCCAACCCGGAAACCGUGUACGACAUCAAGUACUAUACCCGCGACCAGAGGCGCAACCGGCCACCGAUUAGACGCACCGUUUUGAAGAAGGCGGAUGUGGAGAAGAUGAUGAAGGAGAGGACGACAUUCGACGUCUCGGAAUUCCCACCUGUUUACUUGGCCGAUGCCGUUGAAGAGGAUUACAAUGCUCGAGGUGGAGGCUACCAGAAAUGAAGUGGGUUCAAUUUGUUUGUUGGGGAUGCAUCAGUCAAAGUCUGGCACAAUCUAUGCUUCUGGUGAUGGUUCUCAAUUUCCUCUGAGCUUGUUGGCUGCAUCUUGAAUGUGCUUCUUGCAGGCUUAUGGGAUUCUGGAAAAAUAUGUGUGUUAUUUUGUUCCUCUCGUCGAACUAAAGAGAUGCUGUUCAUGUUAGCAUAGAUGCUUGUCUAGUCUGCUCACUUAAUGAAAUGCUGUGUUCGACGUGAAUAAAGGGUACUUGACACAACUUUUUUUUAUCCUUUAGUUUGUGCAGUAAUGUAUUUGUAUAAAAUCUAAAUGCAACCGCAGUUGGGUGAUUGGAUGACAUUAUCGCUCGUUUUUAUAACUUCUAAGAUCUCUACUUGCGAUAA